AACCCCGGAUCCGCCGCUUGUCUGCUGAGUGACCUUGGGCAAAAUGUUUAUUCCCCUCAGAAUGAGACUGCUCAAGAAUGCUGGCUUGGGCCCAAUGGAAGGAUAACAAUAUUAAUAACGGCGAGAUCCAGCUUUUAGACACCAACCCAAGGCAGCUAAUUCCGGGAAAUGGACAUCACAGAUACUGUAGUCGAUCUCAUUACCCAAGCCAGAUAGAGGAUGGCUAAUGAAACUCCUAUAAGAACUACUCGAAAAUUGACUCACGACACUUCAGAAUUCUCAUCAUAGCGUGUAAAUCUUUACGAACUGAUUUUCAGAGGCUUUGAUUUUGAUUUUACCGAAAAGCAUCUCUUGAAAGAACCGAGCAUUGUGUUAUGAUGCCUCUUUAGGCACACCGAUUUCAUUGGGUGAUUUUCCGGGUGGAUCAGUCCUAUGCCGGGUUGCGACUUCUUGAUGUGAACCAACAAAAAGUCAAGUUCGAAUUCAUCUUGGAAGUUACAAUUCCCAGACCCAUGUUUCCCUGGAGACAUCACUCUCUCCAGCUGCAUCUGCCUCUUCUCAUUUUUAAUCGCCCGCCCUGGAAACAAAUGUAAAAUUCUUUACAUCAUCUUUCCCAAAUAAAUGAUUCCA